rnacentral:misc_RNA from 1 species
UCCGGUUUGUCACCGGCAGUCCCAUUAGAGUGCUCACCUGAAAUGUAGCAACUAAUGGCAAGGGUUGCGCUCGUUGCGGGACUUAACCCAACAUCUCACGACACGAGCUGACGACAGCCAUGCAGCACCUGUGUUGCGGCUCCCUUUCGGGCACAAGGGCAUCUCCGCCCCCUUCCGCACAUGUCAAGGGUAGGUAAGGUUUUUCGCGUUGCAUCGAAUUAAUCCACAUCAUCCACCGCUUGUGCGGGUCCCCGUCAAUUCCUUUGAGUUUUAACCUUGCGGCCGUACUCCCCAGGCGGUCGACUUCACGCGUUAGCUGCGUUACUAAGGAAGUCUCCUUCCCCAACAACUAGUCGACAUCGUUUAGGGCGUGGACUAC